rnacentral:rRNA from 1 species
CCUACGGGCGGCUGCAGUGGGGAAUAUUGGACAAUGGGCGAAAGCCUGAUCCAGCCAUGCCGCGUGUGUGAAGAAGGCCUUCGGGUUGUAAAGCACUUUCAGUGGGGAAGAAAGCCUUGGGGCUAAUACCCUCGAGGAAGGACAUCACCCACAGAAGAAGCACCGGCUAACUCCGUGCCAGCAGCCGCGGUAAUACGGAGGGUGCGAGCGUUAAUCGGAAUUACUGGGCGUAAAGCGCGCGUAGGCGGUCUGAUAAGCCGGUUGUGAAAGCCCCGGGCUCAACCUGGGAACGGCAUCCGGAACUGUCAGGCUAGAGUGCAGGAGAGGAAGGUAGAAUUCCCGGUGUAGCGGUGAAAUGCGUAGAGAUCAGGAGGAAUACCAGUGGCGAAGGCGGCCUUCUGGACUGACACUGACGCUGAGGUGCGAAAGCGUGGGUAGCAAACAGGAUUAGAUACCCUUGUAGUC